CAUGCGCAGACGCCCGGCCGGCGACUGAAGGUGAGGCUGGCUGGUUCUGCUGGCGGGGAGGAGGCGGGUGGUGGGACCGGUAGGGAAGGCUGAGGAGGCGGGCGGGAACCUGUGCUGGGGAAAGCAAGAAGGGAAGAGGAGCAACGUGGGACGAGGAGUUGACGGGAGGAAAGUGCGAGUCCGGGCCCCGGAGAAGGCUGGGAGGGAAGCAGGAACCAGAGCGCGGGCCGGGGAGUGCCUGAAGAAGGGAACCAGUUGCCCGAGGCGGGCGUGAGCUUCGCAGUGGCAAGAAUUUCGUCUGAUUUUCGUCCCCCGGCUCCUGGAGCACGGCCUGGCAUACAACUGGCGCUCCGUAGUCUUCAGCUCUUAUGGAUUGGGAGCUGGGAAAGGAAUGAGAAGACAGAAGUCAGAGACAAGAAGAGGCUAACAUGACUGAUACCGCUGUAAUUUAGUGACCCAAGACAACCCAGACAGCCUCCACCCAUGGGGUC
rnacentral:lncRNA from 1 species